rnacentral:rRNA from 1 species
GAUGAACGCUGGCGGCGUGCCUAAUACAUGCAAGUCGAGCGAACAGACGAGGAGCUUACUCCUCUGACGUUAGCGGCGGACGGGUGAGUAACACGUGGAUAACCUACCUAUAAGACUGGGAUAACUUCGGGAAACCGGAGCUAAUACCGGAUAACAUGUUGAACCGCAUGGUUCAACAGUGAAAGACGGUCUUGCUGUCACUUAUAGAUGGAUCCGCGUCGCAUUAGCUAGUUGGUAAGGUAACGGCUUACCAAGGCAACGAUGCGUAGCCGACCUGAGAGGGUGAUCGGCCACACUGGAACUGAGACACGGUCCAGACUCCUACGGGAGGCAGCAGUAGGGAAUCUUCCGCAAUGGGCGAAAGCCUGACGGAGCAACGCCGCGUGAGUGAAGAAGGUCUUCGGAUCGUAAAACUCUGUUACUAGGGAAGAACAAAUGUGUAAGUAACUAUGCACGUCUUGACGGUACCUAAUCAGAAAGCCACGGCUAACUACGUG